rnacentral:rRNA from 1 species
AUUGAACGCUGGCGGCAGGCCUAACACAUGCAAGUCGAGCGAGCGGCGGACGGGUGAGUAAUGUCUGGGAGACUGCCUGAUGGGGGGGGAUAACUACAGGAGACAGUAGCUAAUACAGCCUACACUCAGAUGUGCCCAGAUGGGAUAAGCGAGUAGGGGGGGUAACGGCUCACCUAGGCGACGAGCCCUAGCUGGUCUGAGAGAAUGAACCGCCAAACUGGAACUGAGACACGGUCCAGACUCCUACGGGAGGCAGCAGGGGGGAAUAUUGCACAAUGGGCGCAAGCCUGAUGCAGCCAUGCCGCGUGUGUGAAGAAGGCCUUCGGGUUGUAAAGUACUUUCAGCGGGGAGGCGUUACCCGCAGAAGAAGCACCGGCUAACUCCGUGCCAGCAGCCGCGGUAAUUC